AUGCUCCCUUUGGCAGCCCACGUACUAAAACUGCAUGAUACAGGGAAGAUCAGCACAGCCCCUAUGCAAGAAAGUCGUACAAAUUCGUGAAGCAGUUCAUAUUUUA
ensembl:snRNA U6 U6 spliceosomal RNA